rnacentral:rRNA from 1 species
AGGGAAUCUUCCACAAUGGACGCAAGUCUGAUGGAGCAACGCGCGUGAGUGAAGAAGGUCUUCGGAUCGUAAAGCUCUGUUGUUGGUGAAGAAGGAUAGAGGCAGUAACUGGUCUUUAUUUGACGGUAAUCAACCAGAAAGUCACGGCUAACUACGUGCCAGCAGCCGCGGUAAUACGUAGGUGGCAAGCGUUGUCCGGAUUUAUUGGGCGUAAAGCGAGCGCAGGCGGAAUGAUAAGUCUGAUGUGAAAGCCCACGGCUCAACCGUGGAACUGCAUCGGAAACUGUCAUUCUUGAGUGCAGAAGAGGAGAGUGGAACUCCAUGUGUAGCGGUGGAAUGCGUAGAUAUAUGGAAGAACACCAGUGGCGAAGGCGGCUCUCUGGUCUGCAACUGACGCUGAGGCUCGAAAGCAUGGGUAGCGAACAGGAUUAGAUACCCUGGUAGUCCAUGCCGUAAACGAUGAGCGCUAGGUGUUGGGGACUUUCCGGUCCUCAGUGCCGCAG